AGCGAACGUUUGCGGCGGGCUUAACACAUGCAAGUCGAACGGGCUGUUCCUUCGGGGGCAGUCAGUGGCGCACGGGUGCGUAACACGUAGGUAAUCAACCCUCUGGUUGGGGAUAACACUUCGAAAGGAGUGCUAAUAUCCGGUAUGGCGCAGCGGUCUUCGGAUCGCGGCGAGAAAGACCCGCAAGGGUUGCCAGAGGACGAGCCUGCGGCCCAUCAGCUAGUUGGCGACGUAACGGCUCACCAAGGCGAAGACGGGUAGCUGGUCUGAGAGGAUGAUCAGCCACACUGGAACUGAGACACGGUCCAGACUCCUACGGGAGGCAGCAGUGGGGAAUAUUGCGCAAUGGGCGAAAGCCUGACGCAGCCACGCCGCGUGAGCGAUGAAGGCCUCGGUCGU
rnacentral:rRNA from 1 species